rnacentral:rRNA from 1 species
GUCCACGCCGUAAACGUUGGGAACUAGGUGUUGGCGACAUUCCACGUCGUCGGUGCCGCAGCUAACGCAUUAAGUUCCCCGCCUGGGGAGUACGGCCGCAAGGCUAAAACUCAAAGGAAUUGACGGGGGCCCGCACAAGCAGCGGAGCAUGUGGCUUAAUUCGACGCAACGCGAAGAACCUUACCAAGGCUUGACAUACGCCGGAAAGCAUCAGAGAUGGUGCCCCCCUUGUGGUCGGUGUACAGGUGGUGCAUGGCUGUCGU